GACGAACGCUGGCGGCGUGCUUAACACAUGCAAGUCGAACGGAAAGGCCCUGCUUUUGUGGGGUGCUCGAGUGGCGAACGGGUGAGUAACACGUGAGUAACCUGCCCUUGACUUUGGGAUAACUUCAGGAAACUGGGGCUAAUACCGGAUAGGAGCUCCUGCUGCAUGGUGGGGGUUGGAAAGUUUCGGCGGUUGUGGAUGGUCUCGCGGCUUAUCAGCUUGUUGGUGUGGUAGUGGCUUACCAAGGCUUUGACGGAUAGCCGGCCUGAGAGGGUGACCGGCCACAUUGGGACUGAGAUACGGCCCAGAAGCCUACGGGAGGCAGAAGUGGGGAAUAUGGCACAAUGGGCGGAAGCCUGAUGCAGCAACGCCGCGUGCGGGAUGACGGCCUUCGGGUUGUAAACCGCUUUCGCCUGUGACGAAGCGUGAGUGACGGUAAUGGGUAAAGAAGCACCGGCUAACUACGUG
rnacentral:rRNA from 1 species